UCACCCUGAUAAGGCGGGGGCUGUUAUCAGCGCACCCAGGCUGCGCCCCUCCCGGCACCGAGCCCAACGGGGCCAGCAGCCCCCCGGGUGCCGUCCCCAUGGCCCUGUGAGGGUCCCCGAGCUGGCAUGAGCGUGUGCACGCGUGUGCAUGCGUGUGCAUGAGUGUGCACGUGUGUGUGCAUGCGUGUGCUCACGUGUGUGCGUGUGCAAGGUGCACCCAGCUCACCUUUCUCCCCUUCCCUGCACCCUGCGUGCGGGAGCAGCCUGGCCUGGCAGCGUGCAGCCCCACGCGUGCGUGCACACACACGUGUACAUGAACACACGCGUGCAGACACACACCUGUGUACGUGUGCACACGCGUGCAUUCACACCUGCAUUUCCAUGUGCACGCACACAGGCACUUGGAAACCUGCCCGCAUUCACGCGCUCGUGCACAGGUGCACGCACGCCUUUGUGCACGUGCACACACGAGUGCAAAGGUUCGUGCGUGCACACACAGCCCUGUGCACCCGUUUGCACACACACGAGCGUGCACACAGGCGUGCACACACACCCGCAGGGUGCACCCAGCCUCCAGGACACCCCAGGACGGGCGCAUCCCCCCCACCACCCAUGGGCCCCAAAAUGGCUCCUGCCCCCCCCGCCUGGGGGGAACCCCUUUUUUUUUUUAAAAAAAAUUAAAAAAAAAUUAAAAAAAAAGAGAAAACCCCAAGCCCAAGGAGGGGAGAGGAUUCCCGGGGAUUCCCCGAGGGAAACCCGGACCCAAAACCCCGAUAGCAGCUGUGGGAUUGCGGGGUGGCCGGAGCGGGGCCGGGCAGCGUGGGGCAGCACCGUGGGUUGGGGCCGGGCGCAGCCGCCGAGGCGCAAGAUGUUGCACCCCGAUAACCUUGUUUACGGGGCCGGGGGGGGGCCGGGCGAGCCGGGGGGGGCAGCGGUGGGGGGCAGAUUAGGAGGUGAGCGUGACUCAGGGCAUUUGGGUGCCUGCCCCGGCGGCGCGCGGCUCUUCCACCGGAGAGCCGGGGGCUGGCGGCGACGGCAGCGGCGUCCCCGAGCCACCCCAAAGGACGCCGAGGAGGUGAUGCGGAGAAACCUGGACCCCGAGGGCUACGAGGACCCGGGGAUCAAGGUCUCGAGGAUGUCGCUGGAGGAGACGAGCAGUGAGUGGCACCCACGGGCGGAGGGGGGAGCUGGGGGCGCGCGGGGUGGUGGGGGGGCUACGUGGGGGCCAGAGGGGCAGGGGCAAUGGGACCAGCACUGGCAUUGCAUGGCUGGUGGCACCGCAUGGGCACCGGUGUCGGAUGAGCACCGGCGUUGCAGAGGUGGCAGCGUUGCACGGAUGGGCGUUGCACGAGCGGUGUUGCUGCACGGGCACCUGGGCUGCACGGGGACUGGCACCCUGUGGGCGCUGGCACGGCGUGGGCACUGCAGGGGGCACAGUGUGGGCACGGCAGGUUCAAGGGCGCAUGUUGCAUGGGGUUCUGCGGGUGCCAGCGUUGCACGGGCACCAGCAUUGCAUGAACACCGGCAUGGCAUGGGUGUUAGCGUUGUGCGGGCGCGUUGCACGGGCACUCGGGUUGCACGGGUGCAUGGCAAGGGUGCCAGCAUUGCAUGGGCAGCGGUGUUGCACAGGUGCCAGCACGACAUAGGCGUGUUGCAUGGGCACCAGCGUUGCAAGGGUGCAGGUGUUGCAUGGGUGCCAGCAUUGCAUGGGCACUGGAGUUGCAUGGGGCCAGUGUUGCAUGGGUGCAUUGCAUGGGCACCAGCGCUGCAUGGGUGCCAACGUUGCAUGGGUGCAGGCGUUGCACAGGCGUGUUGCAUGGGCACCAGCACUGCAUGGGUGCCAGCGUGGCUUGCUGAAACCCUGGAGGUUGCCAGCGGGAAAAGGAGAGAUGGCCAAGCCUGGGGACACCGAGGUCCUUGGGUGGGCGGCGAGGGGCGUUCAGAGGGGUCUCGUUGCCCCUCUUCCUUGCCCGCAGCCGGGUUUUUAUGCUCGAUGCAGCAGGGUGGCACCUCUCCGGUCCCCACCGGCUGCCGCUGUGCAUCCCAAAGGUCUCGGUGUCCCCAGCCCCCCAGGGUCCCCUCCAUGGGGUGACGCCGGGUGGUGACGUUGGCCAUGGGGUGGGGUGGUGGCUGUCCCCAUCCCGCGCCCACCCGAGGUAACGCUGCCGCCCGUUCUGCGCAGGGGCCGGCGGCGGCACCGGGCCCCCUUUGGCCGCGCGGAGGGCGAGAGGCGAGGAGCUGGCGCCCCUGCGGUGAGUCCCACGCGCGGCUCGGCCCCGGGAGGCCACCGGCACCCACGGGCGCGCGGGGCUCACCCGCCCGUCCCCGCCGUGUGUGUUUUGCAGCCGGUAUUUGCCCAGCCACCGGGGAUCCUAUGACCUGGACGGGAGGAGGCGCGCGGCCGGGGCCCCCCCGGGACGGGUCAGCCGCCGUGGCGGAGGGCAGAGUGAGUGACCCG
rnacentral:lncRNA from 1 species